ensembl:lincRNA 1700025K24Rik RIKEN cDNA 1700025K24 gene
AGCUUCCUCUGAGACCCUGAGAUCCUAGUGUGACCAAGCUCCUGUUAUCCGAGGAUCCUUAAGUCCUAGGAUCUUGGCCAUGUUACAGCACCUGGAAAGUGGUGUCUCCUCUGGGGACCAUGGGGCUCUCUGAUGUGUUUGAAACCAAGUCCACACCUAUAUGCCCAAUCCUGAAUCUGUUCUUUACUUCCUGGUCACUGCUCUAUCUGCCUCACUGGAGGUCUGCUGCCACCCAGGACUACCAGACUUGAACUGAAACGUCAGGCAGACAUGGGCACAACACAGCUAUUGGUGGCAUGUAAGAAGAAAGAAGGAGUCAUUGGAACCAGAUUCACUCAGUUCUAAGAUCUCAAGAAAUAUACUGAACCUACUGGUACUCAGAGAAAUCCUAAUUCAUAGACUGCCUUCUCAGGAGGACCCCCCCCCCCAUACCAAAGGCAUUGUGUAUGGAGCCUUCCCAGAAAGAUCCCUAAGAUAUAAAAUCUCUGAAAAAAAAAAUCCCAGAUCAAAUUGUAACAGGUCAUUUCUACCUGGCCAUGCUUUAGUAAGCAAAUGAUUACAUGGCUCUGGAGAAAGGUGCUACAGAAGGUAGACCUUUCUAGAACAGCCUACACUGGUACAGGUAAAAAAAUGAUACUCAGGAAGUGGGAUGGACAUAUCUACUUGGUAUCUUACAGAACAAAAUACAGAAUUCAUCGUAAAGCCUUGAGAUUGAAGAAUAAAAUAUCAAUUUAUGUUAAUUGC